rnacentral:rRNA from 1 species
AUGAUACACCAAUUGGCUCUCGUUGUCCUGGUGCUUCAUGAAUAUGAGUUGAAGCAAAGCAAGAAGAAGUUGAGGUUUGAAAGUGACUCAAAAGAGUUUGUGCGGAAGGAGAAGCCGAGGAGAGCUGCAGAUGGUGCCAAGGAUGCCAAAUUUGCCAAGGUGAAGAAGCCUUCUUUGCAGAAGAAGAGUCCAAGUACUGUUGCUGAGGAAGGUGGUACACCUCGGCGGAGUCCACGUGUUGCUGGCAUGAACAAGAAUCUUGGCAAGAGAAAUGCUGAAGCUGGUGGAAAGGAUGAUCCUCAGUGCAAGCGACUACAUGUCACCGAAGGUCCCAACUCUGAUGAUGAUGACUUUGUGCUUGCUGAUUUUGUGAGGGAUGUUCAUAGUGGUAGACACGAAGACUGUGGUUCAUCUAAGAGUCUACCCAAGCGUUCCCGUGAUGAUGUCGAUGAAGAUGUUUGUGGUGACUCUGGCGAGGAGGUGGAUGUUGUUCCAAAGAGGAAGAAGUCUAGUAAGAGCAAUGCAGCUGAAGAUGAUGCUGAGGGGGAUGAUUCUCGAUUUAACAAGACCGUACAUUUGUCGCUUCCCACUAUUUGCAAGGCCGCUGCCUUGUUAAAAGAGGCACACUAUAGUCGUGUUCGGGAUGCUGGAUUUGGUGUUGUCUUUGAACUGACAGUAAAGAAAAAUGUGUCGCGCAUUCUUAUGUGCUAUUUGAUGGGAGUGAUUGAUCCUGCCACCAUGAUAAUGGACUUUGGGAAUGGCAGGGCUCUUCGAAUCAAUCAUGAUGCAGUUCAUCACAUUUUUGAUUUACCCAUGGGACGUCACACUGCACCCAUGCCUGCUGCCAGCGCCCAUAAUGACUCGUUGAGUGCCCUCAAGGAUGAGCUUCGCUUUGACCGUUCAAAAAGUAUAGGAGUCAAGGACUUGCUUGAGAAGUUGAAGGUGUUAGUGGAGGAAGAUGAUCAUGUGACUGUUGACCUUGCUGUGAAGGUGUUCUUCCUGAUACUCUACCAGAAUUUGCUAUGCCCCGGGCUUACAGUUCGUUUGGGUAGAGUUGCUGCAAUGGUAGAGAACAUGGAUUAUGCGGCUAUGGCUCAGAUGGAAUUUUGCCAGCUUGUUGUUGAUGAGUUGCAGGCAGCUGUGGUGAGGUGGCAAACAGAAGGCAGCAAGCAGAAUUGUGCAGAGGGUUGUGCCAUUGCCCCCCUGAUUAUGUAUCUUGACUGCUUGAAGCUUCGCAAAUUUUCAGUCAUGCACACGUUGACGCCACGUGCAUCAUACCUGACGACCAAGGACCUGAUGAAGUUAUACAAUGAGGAUGUGCUUGUGAAGGGAAAGAUUUACUUGGAAACUUACAAAUUUGGGAAGCUGCCGUGGAAGGCGUCAGGUGAUAUUGUGUACAACCGUCCUGUUGCAGUUGCAUGCGGCAGUUCUGAUGCGGGACCUAGCACUCAUGCUAGGUUUCAUGAGCCUAUAUGUAGCCAGCUUCCUGCCUGUGAUGAUGAGGUGUCGCGUACUCGUGGUUUCAUGGCUCUACAGAUGUUUGAUAAUAUAAGCUCUUCUAAACAGUCAUUUGUUGGUGGCAAAAAACACGAGGAGAUUGAUGAGCUUCUUCUGAAGGCUGGAGUGGAAUCUUCUGGCGUCCAUGGAACUAGGGACGAUGGAAUUGGUCAGACUGGUGUUUCUGCUUGUGAUUUGCACAAAGAGACCUACGAUGGCUCUGGGAAGGAUGAGGUCUUGGCUGAUGCAUCGUCCCCUCCGGAUGUUGUAGCUGAUAAGCCUGGAGAAGAAAACGUGGAAGUUCACAUUGAUCUGAAUCAGGGUGGUUGUGCUGUUGAUGGUGGUGGCAGUGUUGAUGCUUCUGCAUCGGUUGCCGUCGACUGUGUAGACCCUUCUUUAGCUCAAGAAUCCCAUGAUGCCAUUUCCCCUAGUCGUCAUGAAGAUUCUGAUUUUGGCAUUGAAAAGCCGUUGGAGAAUGUCGUCCCUGCUGUUAGUGUUGUUGCUUCCCCUCUUUGUCUAGCGACCAAUGAUGUUCCUGAAGUAUUGAGAGUGGAGCCUCAUGUAGCUGAAGUAUCUAAGGACGUUGCGGUUGACCAGACUGUUGUAAAUCCAGAGAAUGCUGAUGUUGCUGCAGAAGGGCAGUCCAAUGACGAACUUCCAGUUGUGACACCGUCGAGCAUUGAUUCAGCUCUUCUGAAAAGAUACAAUGAGUUGUAUGCUGCUGUUACGAGGGUUCGGAAGGACAAGAAGAAGAAGGACAUGGUUGCUUUUAAAACUAAGAUGGGUGAUAUUACAAUUGGUGAAGUUGGUCAAUCCUUUUGGGAUAAAGGGAUGCUCACUACAAGAUUUGUAGAUCUUGGGGUUUCUUUGCUGGUAGAUAAGUUUAAGGGGUCUCCGACAAUGGUUGUCUCAUACCAUAUUUGUACAAAUAAUUGGAAUGGUGGUACUGUAGGUAGGAGUGUUAAAAUGAUGUUCUCUUCAAAAGCCGAGGAGCGUGUUGAUAAAAAGGAUAUGAGGGCAGGUGAGAGGGCUUUUAAGUUGAGAUGCUCUAUAGAGAAAUUGAAGCCUCCGAGGUUCAAAUAUAUUGAUGAGGCAAGGAAAAUAAAGGAUCUUGUUCUCAGCAAAGAUUUUGUAACCAAAUACCACAAGAAUGCGUUCUUUAUGGUGAACAGUCCAUUUGGUGAUCUUGAUACUUACACUAUUGACUAUAUCUACAAUACAUUUGGCAAAGGAGCUUUAAUGGAUUCAUAUCUCAUGGAUUUUGUCAUCAAAUAA